UGGGGAAUAUUGCACAAUGGGCGCAAGCCUGAUGCAGCAACGCCGCGUGAGGGAUGACGGCCUUCGGGUUGUAAACCUCUUUUAGUAGGGAAGAAGCGAAAGUGACGGUACCUGCAGAAAAAGCACCGGCUAACUACGUGCCAGCAGCCGCGGUAAUACGUAGGGUGCGAGCGUUGUCCGGAAUUAUUGGGCGUAAAGAGCUCGUAGGCGGUCUGUCGCGUCUGCUGUGAAAACCCGAGGCUCAACCUCGGGCCUGCAGUGGGUACGGGCAGACUAGAGUGCGGUAGGGGAGAAUGGAAUUCCUGGUGUAGCGGUGGAAUGCGCAGAUAUCAGGAGGAACACCGAUGGCGAAGGCAGUUCUCUGGGCCGUAACUGACGCUGAGGAGCGAAAGCGUGGGGAGCGAACAGGAUUAGAUACCCUGGUAGUCCACGCCGUAAACGUUGGGCGCUAGAUGUGGGGACCAUUCCACGGUUUCCGUGUCGCAGCUAACGCAUUAAGCGCCCCGCCUGGGGAGUACGGCCGCAAGGCUAAAACUUGAAAUGAAUUGACGGGGUCAUAGCUGUUUCCU
rnacentral:rRNA from 1 species